UCCGGAGGGUGCGAUCGUUAUUCGGAAUUAUUGGGCGUAAAGAGCGCGUAGGCGGUCUCUUAAGUCAGAUGUGAAAGCCCAGGGCUCAACCCUGGAAGUGCAUUUGAAACUAAGGGACUUGAGUAUGGGAGAGGGAAGUGGAAUUCCUGGUGUAGCGGUGAAAUGCGUAGAUAUCAGGAGGAACAUCGGUGGCGAAGGCGACUUCCUGGACCAAUACUGACGCUGAGGCGCGAAGGCGUGGGGAGAAAACAGG
rnacentral:rRNA from 1 species